UUAUUAUUCCUACUCUUAAAAAAAAAUUCACAGAACAAUAUUUACAAAAAAAAACACAAUAAACAAAUAAAAAAAUUCUGGGUUAUUAUAAAGACCCUAAUUAAACAAUUGUAGAGACUCAGAAAAAGAAAAAAAUAAAAUAAUAAAAGAUAUUAUUUAAUUUUUUUUGUGGGUGGGACCCACCUAGGUAAGGAGUCAAUAGUCCUCUUUUUUUUUUUCUCUUUUCUUUUCUUUUUUUUCCCUUCUCUCUCCCCGAAACCUCUUCUUCUCUCUUUUUCUUUUUCUUUUCUUUCCUUCAUUUUCUCUCCAAACCAGUCACGGCCACAACUAGUCGGACCACCGCCGGAGUGUCAUUUUCGACACGCGCCGGAGGUACAGCUUCCCUGACCGGCGAUGACGGAAACCCCAAAAUUUGGUGACCAUCGGAGAAAGGACGCGCCUGUACGGCUACUUCGAAGUUUUUCCGUCGAAACUUUGAGGUGCCUUUCCGGCGAACUCCGACCACCAUUCGGCGAGUGGGUGGUACCGUUGGAAUCAGCAUCGUGAGAGGAUCGUCGUCCACUAAUUCAUUCCGGUCAACUCACCAUUUUUCUCCGGCGAGAUUUUGGGUAUCUUCGCCCUUUUGGAAGCAUUUUCCGGCGAUACCGGAGGUCAUUUGGGCGAAGGAGCUGUACUUUCGUGAUGUACUCAUCGAGAGGAUCGUUUUGAUAUAUGCCAUGCAUAUAUUUGUCGACGUCUCCGGUACCGCUACCAACCGCUAUAGUGCAACGCUUGGAAAAACGUGAUAUUAAAAUCGGACUAAAUUAUUCUAAGAUCAUCGUUAAGCUUAGGAGCGUCGCUUUGGACUUGGAUUAAAUUCUAAGGAGGUAUCUAAAGAGGAGCCUAGUGACGCGAACGUGGAAAAGAUGAAUUAUCGAUGGGGCCAAUGUGUUUAGCCUAUUUCUAUUUCGUGUCAUGGUCUUAUCUUUUGAGCAUUUUUUUAUGUAUUCAAUUUCGAAUCUAAUGAUCGGUGUAUCUGAAUGAGCUAUGAAAUAGUUAGGGAUGAGGAAUGGUGGAUGCUAAGUAUUAUUUUGGGUGUUUAUGACUUAUUAAAUUUAACUAUUUGGUGAUUACGUAACUGUAGGAAUAUUAUUGUUUUAUGUAUAAUGAUAAGUGAUUAUACUUUUAUUACUAAUAUUUUUA